rnacentral:rRNA from 1 species
UACGUAGGCAGCAAGCGUUGUUCGGAGUUACUGGGCGUAAAGGGUGUGUAGGCGGUUCUCUAAGUUUGGGGUGAAAUCUCCCGGCUCAACUGGGAGGGUGCGCCGAAAACUGGGGGGCUAGAGUACUGGAUGGGAGAGUGGAAUUCCUGGUGUAGCGGUGAAAUGCGUAGAUAUCGAGAGGAACACCGGUGGCGAAGGCGGCGAUCUGGACGAUGACUGACGCUGAGACGCGAAAGCGUGGGGAGCAAACAGG